UCGGGAAAAGUAAAACUGAGCUUAAAAUUAUGGCGCAGUUCUGAAAACCGGGAACCGAGAAGCCCCGCCUCGUCGAGGACAAGGAUGGCGGUGUUAUUUUCUUGUCAUCUUCUUACUCUUCAUCUUCUUCUGGAUAUGGGUACGUGAGCAUUGAGAAGCAAAGACAGAGGCUUCCAGUUUAUAAGUAUAGAACUGCUAUUCUUUAUUUAGUGGAGUCUCACGCUACUACCAUUGUUGUUGGUGAAACGGGUAGUGGUAAAACCGCUCAAAUUCCACAGUUUUUAAAAGAAGCUGGUUGGGCUGAUGGUGGGCGUGUUAUAGCUUGCACGCAACCAAGACGACAAGCUGUGCAGGAAGCUUUGAACUCCUAUUCGUCUGCAUUUUCAUCUUUUUCAAGUGAAUGUAAAUGUAACAUUCAUUUCUAAUCAGAUGUGUGAGUCCAUGCCAUAGCAUAUAAUAUUCGUUGUCCGAGUAACUAACAUAAAAAAUUAUUCAUUUUAUAUUUAAUUUA